CAGUAGCCGCGGUAAUACGUAGGUGGCAAGCGUUGUCCGGAGUUAUUGGGCGUAAAGGGCUCGCAGGCGGUUUCUUAAGUCUGAUGUGAAAGCCCCCGGCUCAACCGGGGAGGGUCAUUGGGAACUGGGAAACUUGAGUGCAGAAGAGGAGAGUGGAAUUCCACGUGUAGCGGUGAAAUGCGUAGAGAUGUGGAGGAACACCAGUGGCGAAGGCGACUCUCUGGUCUGUAACUGACGCUGAGGAGCGAAAGCGUGGGGAGCGAACAGGAUUAGAUACCCCAGUAGUCCCUGUCUCUUAUAC
rnacentral:rRNA from 1 species